AGAAACUUAGGCUAAUACAGACCAAAGACCUUCAAAGCCUUAAGCGAAGGUUUAAUUCCUUCAGUUUCUG
rnacentral:tRNA from 1 species